UACAGAGGGUGCAAGCGUUAAUCGGAUUUACUGGGCGUAAAGCGUGAGUAGGUGGCUCGCUAAGUCGAUUGUGAAAGCCCUGGGCUCAACCUGGGAAUUGCAGUCGAUACUGGAGAGCUCGAGUUCGGUAGAGGGUGACGGAAUUCCCGGUGUAGCGGUGAAAUGCGUAGAUAUCGGGAGGAACAUCGAUGGCGGAGGCAAUCACCUGGGCCUGAACUGACACUGAGACACGAAAGCUAGGGGAGCAAACGGG
rnacentral:rRNA from 1 species